GUUUGAUGAAUGUGAGGUCAAGCUCCAUCAUCUCGUGGAUUCACAUGGCUCUCUCUUCUCCCUCAGGUGGAUGAGAUGCAACUUACGUAAUGAGAAUGGAGGCGUUUCAGGCAAUGUGACAGAGACAUGUGCAGAUGAAGAAGGAUUUUCAGCCCCUCUGCGGGAAACUGGAAUUGGCAAAUGGUUACUCAGUAAGUGAAGAGAACUGACUUCAUCAUCCUCAGCAAAGUUUCCAGUGCUACAAGAAUUCAAGCCUUACAGCUCUGCUCCUACAAUUGUCAGAGGCCUCUUGGGGAUGGCAAGUACAAAGGAGACUGAAGAAAGACAUAUUCCAGUCACCCCCAAGUUCAUUUCCACUUCAGGCUGAGAGCCUGCUGGCCAAGGGGAAGCUCUGUCUCUUUCAAUUUGGUUUGAAUUGAGACCAUCCAUCCUGGAUGACCAACAGAAUUGGGAAUUAAAUCAUUCGUCCAUGGACUUAGCUGCCUUCUGCUUAGCUGCCCCGAAAGGCAGGCAGUUGAUGAAUGGAGCGUACUACAAAAGAAAGCCGGCGGGCACACAUGGGUCUGGUGACGCUUCUGUCAGGGCGGCUCAAAGGGAAGGCUGCACCACAUGGUGAGUUCCCCCUUUUCUCCCUAAACAAAUGUUGUUUUUACUGAAGUGGGGCUGGUCUGAUUUAAUUACAGGGGGAAGAGAGAGAGGCUGUCCGUCCAUUCUUCUGCUCCAUGAGAAGUGACAUUGGUAGGCUUGGGUGGGAUGAGAACGAGAAUACACCAGUCCUCAGGGCCUCUGGUUCAAUUACUCUUUCUGCCUUGGUUUCCCCAUCUGUCAAAACCAG
rnacentral:lncRNA from 1 species